AGCUUCCUUGUCGUGUGGCCUCAGUCCUUCGCCGUCCCUCGCCGUCCUUCGCCAUCGCACGCCACCGCACCCCAUCUCUCGAAAUCUGCAGACAUCUUGAUUUUUCCCACGCUGUCUGUCAGGUCUCCGCCGCCACUCGACGCCAGGGCGCCGGGAGUGUCACAUGACUGCCGCCCCAUGUGUGUGAGAGGCGUCCUCUGGGAGAGCAUGGAUCCUGAGGUCCCAGGAUUGUCAGCUGACCUCUGUCCUGUGUGCCCAGUGGCCCCAGGUGACGUGUCUUCAAGAAGAGGCUGAGCUGCGGUGCUUGUAAGAUGGGUCUGCUGUGUGCAGAGGCUCCAUGGGAUGUGUUGUCUUCAUAGUAGCAGGGCGCUGGACCAUGGGUCCGCAAGGUCUCAGCCUUAGAUCCAAGGACAGUCCAAGGAAGUCCUAAGACCAUGGAGUUGGUGAUCUGGGAUCUGGGUUUGCUGAUAUUUCUCACCGUGAAUCUCUUGGUGGUGUUUGUGGGCACGAGAGGGGCAGAGAAUGGAGAGUGAGGCUACCACAUGAAGCGUCACCAGAGCUGCUCCCUGCUGCCUGCUCAGAGCACCCCGGAUCCACUGUUCAAUCUGCACAAGAUUCGGGGUCCAGACAUGGGAGACUUCAGCUGCCUCAGAGGACCGUGGACAGGGAAGGCCAGCCUCGCAUCCCUCUGUCCAUGCCUGGAAUGACUUUAAUAACCAAGAGUUUUAUUUUUGAAUUUGUAGCUGUCGUUCACUUUUUACCCACCCAUUCAAUAAACCUUACAGAAUUGC
rnacentral:lncRNA from 1 species